GGCAGAACUUGGAUUCUAUUGUGUCUGGAAUUGGUGGGUUCUUGUUCUUUCUGACUUCAAGAAUGAAGCCACAGACCCUCGAGGUGAAACCAGAGAGAGCUUGACCUCAAUGUGGGUACCGACGGUCUAAUUUCCUGAUGCUUGGAGGAGGACAUGUAAGAGGGACCGCUGGACUCUGCAGAGGGAGAAGGAUGCGCUGAGACAUUCCAUUCCAACUCUCUCACAAAGCUACACAUGAAUCCCUCAGAGCUAGGCAAGACCUGGUUGUGCAUUUCUUCCUCCUACCCAUCUCCUUGAAAUCAGCCCAGUCUAGAUUCAGAGACGUGUGCUGAAACACCCAGAAGUGCAGCUGCAAACCCGGAAGCGCCAGCACCAGAGGAGCCCAGGCCUUCAGCUGACUUCUCAGGCAUGCCCCUCCUGCAUGCCCUCCCUGCCACCCCAGCCCUCCCCCAACCACCUACACGCGGGACCAGCUCCCACUCCACGGAUUCCCAGGCCCCCUGCCCUGGCGGGGCAUGCUCCCAUCUUUCUGGUUUGUACCCUUCUCAGUGCUCUACAUCCCACUGGAGGAAACCACCUAGUCUCUGGCUUUUAACCACCUUCUGUCUCGUACUUCCAUGUAUCCUUGACUGCAAGCGAUCUCUUUUUUCACGGUUUUGAAUAAGUGUCCCAGCUAACUUAUGUUGGCUUUUAAGCACAGACUCUACAGGCCUCUGUGUUAUCCUUCCCUUUCACAGUAUCGUGAAGUGUAAGAGGUGGAAGGGGCCUUGCGUAGUUCCAUUUUACAAUGAGACACACCGAGGUCCUGAGAGGAAAUGCAAUCUGUCCUAGGUGGAGACGACUUUAGUUUGUACUGAAGACAGAGGACCAGUGGCCUGUGCCCUAACAGAGGCUGGCAAAGCUUGGCCUUUGUGUGGAUCCUGAAGCUCCAAUUCCCUGAUGCUUAAGGGAGUGCGUGCAGGAGGUACUGCUGCACCUAGCAGGGAGAAUAAUGUGCUGCACAGCUACUGGCCUGGACUCCAGCCUCCACCUUCUGGCUUCAGUGCUUAGCAUUUCUUCAUGAUUCUCUUCUCUUGGUCUCUCCACUAUUUGAGUCAAUCCCAGAAUCCCUUAGUCCAAGUCUGGUGCUGAUGCUACUGGUACCCAAUACAUUGGUGAAAGAAAACAGAGGCCUAUCACCAAACAGACUGAGGAUUUCUUGUUUGCUACAUAAUCAUGGCUUUGUUUUGUGCCAGCUGGGAUUCACAACUUCAAAAAUAUGCUUGUGCAGAUUUCAGCUCUGUCCUAUAUCCCUCCAACCGCUCUGUUUUUUCCUAUCAGUUCAGGCCCUCAAUAUGUCCUCUUUAGCUAUCUGCUCUAGCUUCAUAUGCUAGCCUGGUCACUCUUCCAAAGACCCAGCUCUGAGCAUGUCCCCUUCUCUAAAACCUUUAGUGGCUCCCCAUUAUCUACUGAUCUCCUUCAGCGGGUAUUAUCCCUCUCUGUACCAGCUGCAAAUGUCUUUCUAGCUAUGCCUUAUCUGGCAACUCCCUCCACUGGGCUUCUUAUACCCACCAUGCAGCCAGCCUGUCUCUGCUCCCUCCACACGCCUUAAGCUUCCCUGAUGCAUUGUGUUUGCCUAGACUGUCUCCUUGGCUUGGAAUGGCCUCCUCUCUCUCCCAAGCCUGCAGAAAUGCUACCGACUUCUCAGGAGCUAUCACAAAUGCUACCUUUCCAUGAAGCCUUCUUACUCAACCCACGUGGUGCCUCAGACGUCUUUGUUUUCUCUCUCUCAUCUCACUCACCUAACUCUGCUUUGCUUUACAACUAUUGAGAACCACGUCUCCACUGGGCUGUGAGUUGGAGGGCAGGGACUUGGCCUUUUCCAACUUGGUAUUUGCUGCUACCUGUAGGAGAGGCUGCAUGGUGAGCAUUUGUUAAACGAAUGAAUUCUUUACAGUGCUGUCAUUGCAAGGGUGUCUCUGGGUUGUCAAGGUUCAUAUGAAUAAUUAAGGCUAUAAUAAUCCAUCUCUGGAUUAUUAAAAUGAACCCAGUCUCUGAUAGCCUGCCUUCCACAGAGCCUUCCUCUAACAACUCUUUACCCCAGGCAGAAUUUCCUUCUGGGAGCUUGAGGCUUUGAUUACAGAAAAGCACCCUGGGAGGCCAGACCUAGAAACAUGUUUAUCAGUCUCUCACAUUUGCAGUUUGCCUGAAGACAGCUCUGAAAGUGGGUUGCGUGGGGGUUAAGAGUUGGAGGUAGGGGCCGGGAGACAGCCCCCCUCCAAACUAGCCUGAGUGCUUGCAGAUGUUAAAAGCAGCCAGCAUUUCAUAAGUGGGCAUGGCGUCCGUUCCCAUCAAGCCUUUCUUUCUCCUGGGCCCUGUGAGUCUGGAAUAACCAACCAGGCUGCCACAGAUUCCUGUGAUGCUUCCUGGAAGUGAAUGCUGCUGAUUCUCACAUUUUAGACAUUAUUCUAUUUUUAU
rnacentral:lncRNA from 1 species